rnacentral:rRNA from 1 species
GAUGAACGCUGGCGGCGUGCCUAAUACAUGCAAGUCGAGCGGACAGACGAUGCGCUUGCUCCUCUGACGUUAGCGGCGGACGGGUGUGUAACACGUGUAUAACCUCCCUAUAAUACUGGUAUAACUUCGGGAAACCGGAGCUAAUACGGUAUGAUCUAUUGCACCGCAUGGUUCAAUAGUAAAAUACGGUGUUGCUGUCACUUAUAGAUGGAUCCCCGCUGCAUUAGCUAGUUGGUAAGGUAACGGCUUACCAAGGCAACGAUGCGUAGCCGACCUGGGAGGGUGAUAGGCCACACUGGAGGUGAGACACGGUCCAGAGUCCUACGGGAGGCAGCAGUAGGGAAUCUGACGCAAUGGGCGAAAGCCUGACGGAGCAACGCCGCGUGAGUGAUGAAGGUCUUCGGAUCGGAAAACUCUGUUAUUAGGGAAGAACAGAUGUGUAAGUAACUAUGCACGGCUUGACGGUACCUAAUCAGAAAGCCACGGCUAACUACGUG